ACGAACGCUGGCGGCAUGCCUAACACAUGCAAGUCGAACGAGACCUUCGGGUCUAGUGGCGCACGGGUGCGUAACGCGUGGGAAUCUGCCCUUCGGUUCGGAACAACAGUUAGAAAUGACUGCUAAUAUCGGAUAAUGACGUAAGUCCAAAGAUUUAUCGCCGAAGGAUGAGCCCGCGUAGGAUUAGCUAGUUGGUAAGGUAAAAGCUUACCAAGGCGACGAUCCUUAGCUGGUCUGAGAGGAUGAUCAGCCACACUGGGACUGAGACACGGCCCAGACUCCUACGGGAGGCAGCAGUGGGGAAUAUUGGACAAUGGGCGAAAGCCUGAUCCAGCAAUGCCGCGUGAGUGAUGAAGGCCUUAGGGUUGUAAAGCUCUUUUGUCCGGGACGAUAAUGACGGUACCGGAAGAAUAAGCCCCGGCUAACUUCGU
rnacentral:rRNA from 1 species